GAUCAGAGUGACAGUUGAUGGCGAAUUUCCUGCAUUAUAUUUCCCAUUUCAGUUCCUGGAUUCUCCUGAGUGGGAUUCACUGAGACCCACAGAGGAAGGCAUUUUUCAGGUAACACUCACAGCAGAAACUGACUGUCGAUAUGUUUCUUGGAGGAGAAAGAAACUAUAUUUGCUUUUGCUCAGCAUCGUUAUAUCUCUCGCCUGUUUUCAGUUUUAAUUGGCAGUGACAUUGCAGAUAAACUCUACGCCUUGAAUGACAGGAUAUAUAUAGGAAAAAGGUAUCACUAUGAUAUUCGGUUACCCAACUACUAUCAUAUGUCAAGUCCAGAAAUGCCCAGAGCACCCCUGACAGGACAGUUUCGGAAUUCCAGGCAAUAUUGUAAUAAAUGACAUCAAAAUAUGAAGUUUUAUAACUAUCAAAAAAAAAUCUCUUCGUCAUUCCCCAAAUGAAGUAGCAAAGUACAUAAAAUUGAGCUCACUAAUAUUUUUAUAACAAAUUCAGAGACAAGAUGCCAUUACCAGCUGUUUUGUCUCAACUUCUUUGUUGCAAAUAAAUUUUACAAAGUUU